rnacentral:rRNA from 1 species
AUUGAACGCUGGCGGCAUGCCUUACACAUGCAAGUCGAACGGCAGCACGGGCUUCGGCCUGGUGGCGAGUGGCGAACGGGUGAGUAAUGUAUCGGAACGUACCUGUCAGUGGGGGAUAACGUAGCGAAAGUUGCGCUAAUACCGCAUAUUCUGUGAGCAGGAAAGCAGGGGAGCGCAAGACCUUGCGCUGAUUGAGCGGCCGAUAUCAGAUUAGCUAGUUGGUGAGGUAAAGGCGCACCAAGGCGACGAUCUGUAGCGGGUCUGAGAGGAUGAUCCGCCACACUAGGACUGAGACACGGUCCAGACUCCUCCGGGAGGCAGCAGUGGGGAAUUUUGGACAAUGGGCGCAAGCCUGAUCCAGCCAUGCCGCGUGAGUGAAGAAGGCCUUCGGGUUGUAAAGCUCUUUCGGCCGGGAAGAAAUCGCAUGGGUUAAUACCCUGUGCGGAUGACGGUACCGGCAUAAGAAGCACCGGCUAACUACGUGCCAGCAGCCGCCGUAAAAC